UACGAAGGGGGCUAGCGUUGUUCGGAUUUACUGGGCGUAAAGCGCACGUAGGCGGAUCGAUCAGUCAGGGGUGAAAUCCCAGAGCUCAACUCUGGAACUGCCUUUGAUACUGAAGAUCUUGAGUUCGGGAGAGGUGAGUGGAACUGCGAGUGUAGAGGUGAAAUUCGUAGAUAUUCGCAAGAACACCAGUGGCGAAGGCGGCUCACUGGCCCGAUACUGACGCUGAGGCACGAAAGCGUGGGGAGCAAACAGG
rnacentral:rRNA from 1 species